rnacentral:rRNA from 1 species
AUUGAACGCUGGCGGCAGGCCUAACACAUGCAAGUCGAACGAGUGGCGGACGGGUGAGUAAUGUCUGGGAAACUGCCUGAUGGAUGGGGAUCACUACUGGGAACGGUUGCUAAUACCGCAUAGCAUAGGCUGUGCCCAGAUGGGAUUAGCUUGUUGGUGGGGUAACGGCUCACCAAGGCGACGAUCCCUAGCUGGUCUGAGAGGAUGACCAGCCACACUGGAACUGAGACACGGUCCAGACUCCUACGGGAGGCAGCAGUGGGGAAUAUUGCACAAUGGGCGCAAGCCUGAUGCAGCCAUGCCGCGUGUAUGAAGAAGGCCUUCGGGUUGUAAAGUACUUUCAGCUGGGAGGCGUUACCCGCAGAAGAAGCACCGGCUAACUCCGUGCCAGCCGCCGCGGUAAUUC